rnacentral:rRNA from 1 species
CGCGUAGGUGGUUCGUUAAGUUGGAUGUGAAAUCCCCGGGCUCAACCUGGGAACUGCAUUCAAAACUGACGAGCUAGAGUAUGGUAGAGGGUGGUGGAAUUUCCUGUGUAGCGGUGAAAUGCGUAGAUAUAGGAAGGAACACCAGUGGCGAAGGCGACCACCUGGACUGAUACUGACACUGAGGUGCGGAAAGCGUGGGGAGCAAACA